GCAAGUGGAGUAGGUCAUUUGACCGAACCACUCUAAAAAUCGGCGUAAUCUCUGGUUUGCAUUUUAUUAUUGUCAUUUACAUUACUGCAAAUCUUCUUACUGCUUUAGUUCCUUAUUACCCUUGCUGCGUAAUUUUAAGAAUACGCUUUCAAGUUAAACUUUUCAAGUUCCGUUCUUAUCGUACGAAAGAUCUUGUUAAAAUCGAAGUUUUAAUCCGCUGCACUAAUUCACC
rnacentral:lncRNA from 1 species